ensembl:snoRNA
ACUCAGUGAUGAAAACUCUGUCCAGUUCUGCUACUGAUUUUAAGUGACGAGAAAGUAUGUCUGAGGAGA